rnacentral:rRNA from 1 species
UACGAAGGGGGCUAGCGUUGCUCGGAAUCACUGGGCGUAAAGGGUGCGUAGGCGGGUCUUUAAGUCAGGGGUGAAAUCCUGGAGCUCAACUCCAGAACUGCCUUUGAUACUGAAGAUCUUGAGUCCGGGAGAGGUGAGUGGAACUGCGAGUGUAGAGGUGAAAUUCGUAGAUAUUAGGAAGAACACCAGUGGCGAAGGCGGCUCACUGGUCCGGUACUGACGCUGAGGUGCGAAAGCGUGGGGAGCAAACAGG